CAACCCUCAAGCUCAGCUUGGUAUUGGGUGUCACCUGGCAAUGGUGCACCUUAAAAUCAGUGGCAGUGCCAUCUGGCUUCAAGCGUAGUAAAACUUUCGCUUUGGAGGUUUGGAUCUGUGCUUGCCAUCAACCACUAAUUAUCCAAA
rnacentral:misc_RNA from 1 species